rnacentral:rRNA from 1 species
AUUAGAUACCCUGGUAGUCCACGCAGUAAACGAUGAAUACUAACUGUCCGGGACGAUUGAGUCCUGGGUGGUACAGCGAAAGCGUUAAGUAUUCCACCUGGGGAGUACGCCGGCAACGGUGAAACUCAAAGGAAUUGACGGGGGCCCGCACAAGCGGAGGAACAUGUGGUUUAAUUCGAUGAUACGCGAGGAACCUUACCCGGGCUCAAACGCGGCGUGAAUACUUUUGAAAGGAGGUAGUCAGCAAUGACACGCCGCGAGGUGCUGCAUGGUUGUCGUCAGCUCGUGCCGUGAGGUGUCGGCUUAAGUGCCAUAACGAGCGCAACCCCUGUCGACAGUUGCUAACAGGUUAGGCUGAGGACUCUGUCGAGACUGCCGGCGCAAGCUGUGAGGAAGGCGGGGAUGACGUCAAAUCAGCACGGCCCUUACGUCCGGGGCGACACACGUGUUACAAUGGCAGGUACAGCGGGAAGCCACCCGGCGACGGGGCGCGGAACCCGAAAACCUGUCUCAGUUCGGAUUGGAGUCUGCAACCCGACUCCAUGAAGCUGGAUUCGCUAGUAAUCGCGCAUCAGCCACGGCGCGGUGAAUACGUUCCCGGGCCUUGUACACACCGCCCGUCAAGCCAUGGAAGCCGGGGGUACCUGAAGUACGUGACCGCAAGGAGCGUCCUAAGGUAAAACCGGUGACUGGGGCUAAGUCGUAACAAGGUAAC